AUGUCCAAGGUCGAUAUGGAAAGUCUUUCAGCGGUUUUCCCUCACUUUCGUGUCAACAAACAAUUCGAAAUACCUCAAAUUUUUCAGAACAUGUCCGAGUCAAAUAGCAAUGAUUCGAAGCGCUUCUUUUACCAGUAUUCGUAG
rnacentral:rRNA from 1 species